rnacentral:lncRNA from 1 species
AAAUUGUAUUCUGUCUUUCUGUGUAUCUCAGACCUUACAGCAGACCUUACGUCACCCUCCAAACUCACAACGUGAAUGAUAUUCAUAGUGUCACUGUGUGAUUGAAGGGGACGACAGAGGAUUGUUCUAAAAUACCAACAACAUAUUGUGUGUGUGAAGGUGGGUUGCUGGGUAGAUUCCCCCAGUUAGAGUCAUUGUUGUCUAACACAGUGACCUUUAGUUGACUGUGUGUGUGUGUGUGUGUGUGUGUGUGUGUGUGUGUGUGUGUGUGUGUGUGUGUGUGUGUGUGUGUGUGUGUGUGUGUGUGUGUGUGUGUGUGUGUGUGUGUGUGUGUGUGUGUGUGUGUUAAUGCCUAGGGUCCUUUUAUUCCCCAGCCAUCAUGGUGGCAUCCCAAAUGGCACCAUGCUCCCUUAUUUAGUCCACUACCUUGACCAGAGCCCGCAGGGAACAGCGUUGCAAUUGGGACUCAGAUCAUGUGAUCGCUGCUAUCUGUCCAGGAGCCGCCACAGGGGGCCUCCAUCCUCAGGGAACAAGACAGAGGAGGAAGUCCAGAUGUGUGAAAGCCCCAGAGCGGUGUGUCACACUGGGCCUAGUCUGACACGACCUCCCCCUAGGACAGAGCACCAGUCACCAGUCUGCCCAGUCCACUACACUGGGGGUUGUGAGGAGAGGACGGUUGCUCCUUUCGUUGCUCUGCUGAGGGUAUGUUAAACAGUGCUAAUUUCCUAAAUGAAUGGAGUGUCAAGCUUCCACUAAAUGCUGAUGUAGUCUGUCACCAUGUAGACAAGAGGAAAGGAAAGUGAUGUAGUCUGUCACCAUGUAGACAAGAGGAAAGGGAAGUGAUGUAGUCUGUCACCAUGUUGACAAGAGGAAAGGGAAGUGAUGUAGUCUGUCACCAUGUAGACUAGAGGAAAGGGAAGUGAUGUAGUCUGUCACCAUGUAGACUAGAGGAAAGGGAAGUGACGUAGUCUGUCACCAUGUAGACAAGAGGAAAGGGAAGUGAUGUAGUCUGUCACCAUGUAGACUAGAGGAAAGGGAAGUGACGUAGUCUGUCACCAUGUAGACAAGAGGAAAGGGAAGUGAUGUAGUCUGUCACCAUGUAGACAAGAGGAAAGGGAAGUGAUGUAGUCUGUCACCAUGUAGACAAGAGGAAAGGGAAGUGAUGUAGUCUGUCACCAUGUAGACAAGAGGAAAGGGAAGUGAUGUAGUCUGUCACCACGUAGACAAGAGGAAAGGGAAGUGAUGUAGUCUGUCACCAUGUAGACAAGAGGAAAGGGAAGUGACGUAGUCUGUCACCAUGUAGACAAGAGGAAAGGGAAGUGAUGUAGUCUGUCACCACGUAGACAAGAGGAAAGGGAAGUGAUGUGUCUGUCACCAUGUAGACAAGAGGAAAGGCAAGUCAUGUAGUCUGUCACCAUGUAGACAAGAGGAAAGGGAAGUCAUGUAGUCUGUCACCAUGUAGACAAGAGGAUACUCAGCCACUCUUGGAAAUUGAUCCAGUAGCUUGUUCAUGACUAAAACCAAUGCGUUCCGGCCUGUAGCCGUCAUCAGGGUUAGGAAAGGACAGAGAAGGCUAAAGAUCUCAACACAAUGGACGGUUCAGACAGAGGGCUCUGAAGACUCACAUGCUCUAUCUAGGUUAGCUAUUGCCUGAUUGUGUUCAUGAGACUGUUAUUAAAGAUUAUGAAACAAUUUUGUGUUUUUUAACUAUUGCCUGAUUGUGUUCAUGAUUCUGUUAUUUAAUGUAUAUGCUUACUGAUUUUCAUAAAAUUUGUAUGGCAACAAAUAUUACAUAUACGUUCUUUCAAUUGGGCAGAAUAUCAUAGCCUGGGCCUAUAUACAUUUGUUCGUAUGGGCAGAAUAUUGUAGCCUUGUCCUAUUUACAUUCCUUCAUAUGGGCAGAAUAUUGUAGCCUGGGCCUAUAUACAUUUGUUCGUAUGGGCAGAAUAUUGUAGCCUGGGACUAUAUACAUUUGUUCAUAUGGUUAUAUAAAGGCUGAAGACUAAAAACAGCCAAUAACUACUUUCUAGAAUGUAUUUUCAUUUUAAAGAAUGUAUUUUCAUUUAUCUAGUUUUUACACCGUCCAUUAACACCAACCAUUCACUAUAAAAAUUGUAUACAUCAUUUUUUUUUUAAAGACAAUGAUGUGGAAAAAAUAAGUCUAAAACAAUUAUUUAAAAAAAUGUGGUAGAGGGGUCCAUGGUGGUAGAGGGGUCCAUGAUGGUAGAG